UACGAAGGGUGCAAGCGUUACUCGGAAUUACUGGGCGUAAAGCGUGCGUAGGCGGUUUGUCGCGUCUGCUGUGAAAACUCGGGGCUUAACCCCGGGCCUGCAGUGGGUACGGGCAGACUAGAGUGCGGUAGGGGAGACUGGAAUUCCUGGUGUAGCGGUGAAAUGCGCAGAUAUCAGGAGGAACACCGGUGGCGAAGGCGGGUCUCUGGGCCGAUACUGACGCUGAGGAGCGAAAGCGUGGGGAGCGAACCGG
rnacentral:rRNA from 1 species